rnacentral:rRNA from 1 species
GACGAACGCUGGCGGCGUGCUUAACACAUGCAAGUCGAGCGGAGCGGCGAACGGGUGAGUAACGCGUGAGUAACUGCCCCCCUCUCUGGGAUAACAGUUGGAAACGGCUGCUAAUACCGGAUAGUGGGGGAUGACUCGCGGCCUAUCAGUUUGUUGGUGGGGUAGUGGCCGACCAGGGCGACGACGGGUAGCCGGCCUGGGCAGAUGACCAGGCACACUGGACUGAGACACGGUCCAGACGCCUACGGGGGGCAGCAUUGGGGAAUAUUGCACAAUGGGGGAAACCCGGAUGCAGCAACGCGCGUGCGGGAUGACGGCCUUCGGGUUGUAAACCGCUUUCAGCCAUGACGCGGUAGUGGCAGAAGAAGCACCGGCUAACUACGUGCCAGCCGCCGCGGUAAUUC